UAAAACUAGGAGUUACUAUCGCAAGGAAAAUGCUGCCGAUAUGUACAUGUAGGAUGUGCUACAAAAAGAGCGUUUUUCACUGUAUGUAUGAUUUAUUGUCUUACACAUCGUCGUUCCUCAGUCACCUUCGUACAAUUAUAUCUUACAUCUAAUCUUAUGAAAAGUAUCUUUUAAUAUACUAAUAACAGUGCGACUUUGAUAGUUGACACAUAAUACAAAUGAUAAAAUGUGAAUAUUAUUGAAUGAUUUUGUCACUCGUACAACUUUUAAUUUGGCUAUUCAAACAAUUGAUUUAAAAUAGUUGAAUUUAUACUUGAUGGGAUGUUAUUGCUUAUUGGGAUGUUGAAAUUAUGUUUGUUUUAAAUACAUUUAAUUGAUAUUCCAUAAAUUCAUUUUGUAUGAUUUCAUUGACCUUGACAUUGUUCAAAAUCAUUUUGUAUUGUAUUGAAACUGUAUGUCUAUGACCUAUGUUAUGUACUAUAUUAACCCAUUGAGUCGCAUUGCACCCUGAUGCACCCUACUUUGAACAGUAUUUUACUCUGUCUAACGCCAGACGAUUUUACUCGUCAAGGGGAGAGUGCUGGCGCUUAAUGGGUUAACUGAUCUAUCUGCCCAUGUGUCUAGUUAACCCAUUGGGUCGCAUUGCACCCUGAUGCACCCUACUUUGAACAGUAUUUUACUCUGUCUAACGCCAGACGAUUUUACUUGUCAAGGGGAGAGUGCUGGCGCUUAAUUGGUUAACUGAUCUAUCUGCCCAUGUGUCUAGUUAAC